rnacentral:rRNA from 1 species
GACGUAGGGCGCGAGCGUUGUCCGGAUUUAUUGGGCGUAAAGAGCUCGUAGGCGGCUUGUCGCGUCGUCCGUGAAAACCUGCAGCUCAACUGCAGGCUUGCGGUCGAUACGGGCAGGCUCGAGUUCGGUAGGGGAGACUGGAAUUCCCGGUGUAGUGGUGGAAUGCGUAGAUAUCGGGAGGAACACCAGUGGCGAAGGCGGUUACCUGGAGCUUUGCUGACGCUGAUGCGCGAAAGCGUGGGGAGCGAUCCGG